rnacentral:rRNA from 1 species
UGGAUUCGCUAGUAAUCGCGCAUCAGCCAUGGCGCGGUGAAUACGUUCCCGGGCCUUGUACACACCGCCCGUCACACCAUGAGAGUCUGUAACACCCAAAGCCGGUGGGAUAACCUUUAUAGGAGUCAGCCGUCUAAGGUAGGACAGAUGAUUAGGGUGAAGUCGUAACAAGGUAUC